rnacentral:rRNA from 1 species
AAACUGAUCUUCCCGUGAAGAAGCGGGAAUAUGUAUAUAAGACGAGAAGACCCCAUGGAGCUUUAAACCCAACAGCACCUAUUCUUUUUAAAUCCACCCAUUCAUAUAGUAAAUGCUUGUUUGUUUUAGGUUGGGGUGACCGCGGAGUAAAAAUUAACCUCCACGAAAAAGGGCAUAAAAGCCUUAUCAAAGAAUUACACUUCUAUGAAUUAGUAAACUAAUUUUUGAUGAUCCGAUAUUCGAUCAACGAACCAAGUUACCCUGGGGAUAACAGCGCAAUCCACCUCAAGAGCUCCUAUCGACAAGUGGGUUUACGACCUCGAUGUUGGAUCAGGGUACCCCAGUGGUGCAGCAGCUACUAAAGGUUCGUUUGUUCAACGAUUAAAACCCU